rnacentral:lncRNA from 1 species
AAGGCUUCUUAAAGAAGAAGUAGGCCUUACAUCAAAAAACUCCAGCUAACUGGACAUAAUGAUGAAAGGGAAAGAAUUAAUUGUGCUUCUUAGAUACUGGAGCUGGAAGUAGACUAAAUGGAUAUCCACAAAAGGGAUGGGGAGAUGUUUCCCUAAACAAAAGUACCUUUCUUUGAGGCUGCCAAAUGACCCAUCACAGAAGAGGACUCCCAAGGAAGGGUUGAAUUGCAUCUCUUCCAAGCUGCAAACUGAAGAGUCAAGAGAGACUGGACAUGUUAGCUCCAAAGCAAAGAUUACUGGAGCUAAGCAGGAAAACCAGCUUUGGGGUGAAAUGUAGAGAAAUAAUUCAAAUGGU